rnacentral:lncRNA from 1 species
UCACUGGGGCCAACCUUGCCCAGGUGUCUCUGGACUUCUGCUCAGGGUGGAUGGCAUGAAGCAUUUCCCUGGUGAGAAGGAGAAAGGUCAAGAGCAGGACUCUGCCUUUUUUUCUGUAAAAUGCACCUUGCAGAUGAUAGACCUUGCACCAAAGAAGGGGCAUGUGGCAUGCCCAAAUGUCGGCCAAGAGAUAAGCAGAGGGUGGGAAUUAAAACCCCAGGCCAGUCUCAGGCUGAGAGGAUCAUGGAAGCCUUCUUCCUAAGUCAAGACCUCUUCCCAAAGCCACAGGAGAGGGCCGAUGCUCAGGGAACUCGACCAAGAGGUGCAGGCACUUGUUAGAGUAAAUCCAGCUCUGGUCAAAAUGGCACUGCAGGAAAAAUCUUCCUUCACUGUUUUAUUUUAAGUUACAUAGUGAAAGUCUCCAACCCUGCAAGGGGAGAAAGUGUUUUAAGAGAUUGGUCUCUGGAGGCAGACAGAUGCCUCGACUUACGAGACCUGAUACAAAUGAUAAACUCUAUGUAAAAUACAUACAUGCUAUCUCUUGAGCAUUUAAUACUGUAUUAGUCUGUUCUCACACUGCCAAUAAGGACAUACCUGAGACUAGGUAAUUUAUAAAGAAAA